rnacentral:rRNA from 1 species
UGGGGAAUAUUGGACAAUGGGCGCAAGCCUGAUCCAGCCAUGCCGCGUGAGUGAUGAAGGCCUUAGGGUUGUAAAGCUCUUUUGUCCGGGAAGAUAAUGACUGUACCGGAAGAAUAAGCCCCGGCUAACUUCGUGCCAGCAGCCGCGGUAAUACGAAGGGGGCUAGCGUUGCUCGGAAUCACUGGGCGUAAAGGGCGCGUAGGCGGAGUUUUAAGUCGGGGGUGAAAGCCCAGGGCUCAACCCUGGAAUUGCCUUCGAUACUGGGAGUCUUGAGUUCGGAAGAGGUUGGUGGAACUGCGAGUGUAGAGGUGAAAUUCGUAGAUAUUCGCAAGAACACCGGUGGCGAAGGCGGCCAACUGGUCCGAAACUGACGCUGAGGCGCGAAAGCGUGGGGAGCAAACAGG